CGCGCAGGCGGUCAUGCGCGUCGGGCGUGAAGGCCCCCGGCUCAACCGGGGCGGGUCGCUCGAAACGGCAUGACUGGAGGGCGGCAGAGGCUGGUGGAAUUCCCGGUGUAGUGGUGAAAUGCGUAGAGAUCGGGAGGAACACCCGUGGCGAAGGCGGCCAGCUGGGCCGACCCUGACGCUGAGGCGCGAAGGCCCGGGGAGCGAAG
rnacentral:rRNA from 1 species